rfam:Triticum aestivum genome assembly, contig: Triticum_aestivum_CS42_TGACv1_scaffold_306564_4AS
UAUGUACUCCCUCCGUCCGAAAAUACUUGUCAUCAAAAUUGAUGAAAAAGGAUGUAUCUAGAACUAAAAUACAUCUAGAUACAUCAUCUUUUAUUUUUUUGAUGACAAGUAUUUUCGGACAGAGGGAGUAUUUC